CAGAGACAAGAAGCGAAUGUUUUCAAAAGCGAAAGGAGAAUGUGAGAGAAAUUCUUGCAAGCCAGACUGCAUGGGUAGAAGGGGAAGGAAAAAAGAUAUUCUUGCAAAUUUGCAUGAUUCAUUACCAUUACUAUUAUUAUUAUUAUUAUUAUUAUUAUUAUUAUUAUUAUUAUUAUUAUUACUACUACUACUACUACUACUACUACUACUAUUAUUGCAAGAACAUUUGAGUCCAAAGGGAGGGAAGGAGAGAAAAGACAGCAACAGAAGUUAUAUCCUGGUUCCUGAGUCCUGAAAAUGAUCUCAGACCAUCUUCUCCCCCCUCCCAUUUUUCCGAAUGAAUCCUAACACAACUGACAGGACGUUCCUCUGCAUCGUGGGAAGAGCUCCAUCAUAGAUCGUGGGAUAAGGUCCUAAGAUUGCACUGCUUUGCAUUGUCUUUGGUUUUUAAGACCAGGGAUAGCUACAUUGGCAGAAGGCAGGCGCUUAGAAUCAAUUGACACUCUUUAAAGGCUUUUGAUGAAAGGAAAAAGAAUUCACCAAUUUCCCUAUCAUUAACAACUGACUUAAGGGAGGAUGUGUAACGGGUUCUUGUUCCAGGAGGACUCCCUCAAGUUAGAGUGCCAAUCAGUGGCACAUAGAGAUAACCCUUGGUACCCUAUGACUUUUUCAUGAAAGUAAGCUGGGAUGAACUUUAGGAUCCAUAUGCUGCAUUUUCAGCCAGGAUAUAGGCCAUACACAUAAAUUCAUGCCCACACAUCCCUUUUGCGGAUUUUGGUGGCCUUAUUUCAUCCAACUCUUAUCUCUUGUGUCAACAUUAGAAUGCAAGUGCAAGUGUGAAAACAGAAAGAUAACAGAAAAUUAUUAUUAUUAUUAUUAUUAUUAUUAUUAUUAAUGCUGUAAGAAAAUUGCACAGACAGACUACAAACAGAGGCACAACUCUGUGGCCCAAAUGAUUCAUUGGAACCUAUGCCUCAAGUUUCACCUCCCUGCAGUUAAGAACUGGUGGGAUCACAAACCUGCACAGGUUGUGGAAAAUGAACACGCAAAGAUACUGUGGGACUUCCGAAUCCAGACUGACAAAGUUCUGGAACACAACACACCAGACAUCACAGUUGUGGAAAAGAACAAGGUUUGGAAAAACUCAGCCGCUAUCAGGACCUCAAGAUUGAACUUCAAAGACUCUGGCAGAAACCAGUGCAGGUGCAAUUUCAUUGUCUCAAUGACUUUAUUCAUUUUUAGCAAUACUCAUAAAUAACAACAUAUUAUAAUAAAUUUGAAAUAAUGUUUGCAUAUGUGUAUAUGUCAUUUCAUUGUUAGACCCAAAUUGAAGCAACCAAAAAUACUCCCUGAAAACAUGAUAGCAUUCAUUUAAUUUUUAAACCAUUACAAGUACACCUCAGUUAACAAAACAGAGUUAUUCUUGGGCUUUAUUUCUUUACCAGAAACAUUGGUACUUGAUAGAGCAAUAAUACGGAGAGAACAGGAAUAGUUUAUUACACUACAAAACGUAUCAGCUGUUCAACAUAUUUCAGCAAACUUUUUAUUCAAAAAUAUUAAAUGAGACAACAAGUAAAUCUUGCUGACAUAAAAAAACACAUUUUGACUCUUCUAGAGGCCACUUGAAAGCUUCUUCCAAAUUCUUCUUCCAGAAUUAUUCUUCCAGAAUUAUUACACUAUGUAACAUGAUUUUUGUUCCUGGUUUAUAAAUGUCAUUUCCUAAUUGGUUCUAUCAUAAUAACAUGGAAAAAAAUUUAUUAAACUGUAAACAUUUUGUUUUUGCAGGACAGGCUACAGCACAUUUUGCUAUAGUUUUUCAAUGACUAUCUCAUUGAGUCUCAACCAAUUCAACAUAGAUUGCUGUGAGUUUUUGGGGCUGUAUGGCCAUGUUCCAGAAGCAUUCUCUCCUGGCGUUUCACUCACAUCUAUGGCAGGCAUCCUCAGAGGUUGUGAGGUCUGUUGAAAAGCAACAACAGACUUCAGAGAGAAUGCUUCUGGAACAUGGCCAUACAGCCCGGAAAACUCAGUGAUUCAAGCCAUGAAAACCUUUGACAACACAAUUCAACAUAGUUUGUGGCAUCCACAACAACAAAGUUUAUGGAAUACAACAACUAUUUUCAAAGUGAAGAACACACAAUUAAACAGGGAAUAACACUUUUAAACAAGGAACAGAACAUUUUUCAAAUUUUGUUACACAGUAUUACUUUUCUUUCAUCAGCAUUCUCAUUUUGGUGGUGAACACUAUAGACCAAUGUUUUGUUUUGUUUUUUUUAAAAAAAACUUUUCAGGAUAGCUACUCAGGCAUAGGAUAUGCUUUCCCAUUUUCUUUCUGUUUACUCUUUGCUCACAAAAGGAUUUUGUAGGUGGCUGUGGUACUAAGCAACCACAGCUACAGUUUGAUAAGCUAGAGUUGAAUCCUAUUCUUUCCCAGGUGAAGCUUUAUUGCACUACUUCAGACAUGCUUCUGAAAUUCAGCCCUGAAUGAUGCAAGCAAACAUCCAACUGAACAGAAAAAAGUUACUGAAGGUGAACAUUGGAUCCCACAACUCAAAGUGCAGAGAACCCAAUGUUGAUCAAGCUAUUUUGACACAGGUACCUCUAUUUUAGCAGUAAAAUACCAUUUCAAAUUUAGGAAGUUAAGCAGCUAGCAAUUUGCUACCUUUUCAUGAUACUCCAAUAAGAUGACUGUUUUCUUUUUUUCCCUAAUUGUAGGGCCAGCAUAAAAACAAACCUAGAUGUAAUAUUAUCAAAAAAAAGGAUAUGUUAUUAAUAAAUAUAACAAACACAAACUCUUUACCAAAGGAUCUUCAGAAUUGAUGCUUGAGUAUUACAGAAGCAAUGAAGCCCACCUCCCUUCUGCAUAAGAUUGUGGCAGAUCAGAAGGGAUUUGCUGUGGAGAUGGAGGGAGGAAUGCUGAGAUGUCUGACUUGCAUAAAACACUCCAACAACAGACUUGCUGAACAUGUUGAUGAUAAGCAUCAGCCUUAUGUGCCUUUCUUUUAGGGCAAGGCUCUUUAGGGAUUGUUAAAUUGAAAGAGAAAUAAUGACAGAUGUUUCUUCCAUUGCAGUUGUGAAGUCAAGGAUUAAAAAUAAUAUUCAAGUGCUUAAAGGAAGUCUGAUAAAUGGAAUGUCGGGUUUAUAUAAAUCCGUCUUUUAAGAAAGGUUUCUGUGGAUAAAAGUAGAAAGUGAGCAAGUCAGAUUUCUUCUCAAAGUAGUGAAUGUCUGUGCCUGUGGAUUUGUACAAAGCAUUGGAAAAGCCACAACUUUAUACUCACCUCAUACCUCUGCUAAGUGCCCCCUGCCCCUGCCCUGCAAAACACACAGCCCACUGAGUGGUUUUUUAAGCAUUUUAUUUUAUUUGAUUUAUAAGGAUGGGUACACUGAUGCAUAGUGAUUCAAAUGUGGUUCUGUCAGUCAGAAAAAUAUUAUGUUAAUAAAUUCAGUCAUUAGUGGCA